AGUCGUCUGCUUACUCGUCAUACAAAAGUAGCAAGUAUUCAGAAGGAUUUAAAGUCAUGUAGCCGCUGUUGUAGUAAAGUAUGUACGAAGAAAUUCUCUCUUUUGGAGGUAAAAAACAUGCGAUUGGAAUUCUGGUCAAAGACAAUAAAUGGUCGAAACCAGUGGAUAUUAAAAAAGUUCUCUGAAACUAAUGUGGAGUAAACACCAUACUUCCGUAUACAGAACGGACAUGUAGUUUGUCCAAAGGCAUUGAUGAGAAUGCUUGGAAUUCACAAAAAUUUCUAUUACUCUUAUAGAAAAAAGUUCAUAGAAGGAACACGUUUUUCUGUAUCGGAGAGACACUACUGUGGCAGCAUAAAAUCACUGCAAGCUAUAAACUGGCUGGAAGAAUACGCUACAUAUUACGUUGACAGGAUACUGAAAUACACUCUUACUACCUUAUCGGACACGACAGUGCAUGAUUUAUAUAAGAUAUAAAGAAGAUAUGAAGGAAAGAUCAGAAAAUUUUUUAAUGCCAUCAGCCUUCUGCGGAAUAUGGAAAAAAUAUUUACCCAAUCUUAAAGUCAAAAAGACCAAUUCCUUUUCGAAGUGCACAGUAUGUACAAGUUUGGAAAGACAGAUAGAGAUCACACAUGAUGCAGUGAUAAGAGAUAAAUUGCAAGCUGAACGAAGAGAACACAAUAGCAGACAGAUGUUAGAAAGAAAGUACUAUUACACCAAGAAAAACGCUGCAAAGACAUCCCCAUCAAAAUAUUUAAGCUUGAUUAUAGAUGGAAUGG